AGAGUUUGAUCAUGGCUCAGAUUGAACGNCUGGCGGCAGGCCUAACACAUGCAAGUCGAGCGGAUGAGUGGAGCUUGCUCCAUGAUUCAGCGGCGGACGGGUGAGUAAUGCCUAGGAAUCUGCCUGGUAGUGGGGGACAACGUUUCGAAAGGAACGCUAAUACCGCAUACGUCCUACGGGAGAAAGUGGGGGAUCUUCGGACCUCACGCUAUCAGAUGAGCCUAGGUCGGAUUAGCUAGUUGGUGAGGUAAAGGCUCACCAAGGCGACGAUCCGUAACUGGUCUGAGAGGAUGAUCAGUCACACUGGAACUGAGACACGGUCCAGACUCCUACGGGAGGCAGCAGUGGGGAAUAUUGGACAAUGGGCGAAAGCCUGAUCCAGCCAUGCCGCGUGUGUGAAGAAGGUCUUCGGAUUGUAAAGCACUUUAAGUUGGGAGGAAGGGCAGUAAGUUAAUACCUUGCUGUUUUGACGUUACCAACAGAAUAAGCACCGGCUAACUUCGUGCCAGCAGCCGCGGUAAUACGAAGGGUGCAAGCGUUAAUCGGAAUUACUGGGCGUAAAGCGCGCGUAGGUGGUUCGUUAAGUUGGAUGUGAAAGCCCCGGGCUCAACCUGGGAACUGCAUCCAAAACUGGCGAGCUAGAGUAUGGCAGAGGGUGGUGGAAUUUCCUGUGUAGCGGUGAAAUGCGUAGAUAUAGGAAGGAACACCAGUGGCGAAGGCGAACACCUGGG
rnacentral:rRNA from 1 species